rnacentral:rRNA from 1 species
GAUGAACGCUGGCGGCGUGCCUAACACAUGCAAGUCGAGCGAGGGUUUGCUCAGUAUUGAGUAUUCUAAGUCUAGAAUGUUCAAUUCUGAGCAAAACCAAGCGGCGGACGGGUGAGUAACGCGUGGGUAACCUGCCCUAUACACAUGGAUAACAUACUGAAAAGUUUACUAAUACAUGAUAAUAUAUAUUUGCGGCAUCGCAGAUAUAUCAAAGUGUUAGCGGUAUAGGAUGGACCCGCGUCUGAUUAGCUAGUUGGUGAGAUAACUGCCCACCAAGGCGACGAUCAGUAGCCGACCUGAGAGGGUGAUCGGCCACAUUGGAACUGAGACACGGUCCAAACUCCUACGGGAGGCAGCAGUGGGGAAUAUUGCACAAUGGGCGAAAGCCUGAUGCAGCAACGCCGCGUGAACGAUGAAGGUCUUCGGAUCGUAAAGUUCUGUUGCAGGGGAAGAUAAUGACGGUACCCUGUGAGGAAGCCCCGGCUAACUACGUGCCAGCAGCCGCGGUAAUACGUAGGGGGCUAGCGUUAUCCGGAUUUACUGGGCGUAAAGGGUGCGUAGGUGGUCCUUCAAGUCGGUGGUUAAAGGCUACGGCUCAACCGUAGUAAGCCGCCGAAACUGGAGGACUUGAGUGCAGGAGAGGAAAGUGGAAUUCCCAGUGUAGCGGUGAAAUGCGUAGAUAUUGGGGGGAACACCAGUAGCGAAGGCGGCUUUCUGGACUGCAACUGACACUGAGGCACGAAAGCGUGGGUAGCAAACAGGAUUAGAUACCCUGGUAGUCUAAGGGCGAAUUCCACAGUGGAUAUCAGGCUUAUCGAUACCGUCGACAUCGAGGGGGGGCCCGAGUACCCAGCUUUUUGUUUCCUUUAUGAGGGUUUA